UGGAAGUGAUGAAACAGAGAUAAUUGGAUGUCUCUUUGAAUGGAGUGUGCGUGGUAAAUGGAACUGACACCAAGUCACACUGGGGACAGGGGGUGGGGAGCGUGUGUGUGUGUGUAUGGCAAAGGCUUCAAACGGGGGCACUGAUAAGGCAGUGCUGAUUCCGGAGUGCAUCUGAGGCAUGUUGUGCAAUUCUGGGGUGCUGCUUCACAACUGUGCCGAUGAUUAAAGCCCAAAAGAAGCCCACCAAGACAAGCCUGGGCAUCCUGAAUCUCUAACAGGUUCACUAACGGAAGUGAUCCUGCGAGCUGAUCCAA
rnacentral:snoRNA from 1 species